rnacentral:rRNA from 1 species
UGGGGAAUCUUGCGCAAUGGGCGAAAGCCUGACGCAGCCAUGCCGCGUGAAUGAUGAAGGUCUUAGGAUUGUAAAAUUCUUUUACCAGGGACGAUAAUGACGGUACCUGGAGAAAAAGCCCCGGCUAACUUCGUGCCAGCAGCCGCGGUAAUACGAAGGGGGCUAGCGUUGCUCGGAAUUACUGGGCGUAAAGGGAGCGUAGGCGGGUUGACAAGUUGGAGGUGAAAGCCCAGGGCUCAACCCUGGAAUUGCCUUCAAAACUGUCAGCCUUGAGUAUGGAAGAGGUAAGUGGAACUCCGAGUGUAGAGGUGAAAUUCGUAGAUAUUCGGAAGAACACCAGUGGCGAAGGCGACUUACUGGUCCAUGACUGACGCUGAGGCUCGAAAGCGUGGGGAGCAAACA